rnacentral:tRNA from 1 species
UGUCGGUGGUCGGCCGGGGCGACCGGCCGCCGCGAACGGUCGUGGACGUCGCCCGGCUCGGGUUCGGAACCCCGGAUCGGCUGC